UACAGAGGUCCCAAGCGUUGUUCGGAUUCAUUGGGCGUAAAGGGUGCGUAGGCGGCGCGGUAAGUCGGGUGUGAAAUCUCGGGGGCUUAACUCCGAAACUGCAUUCGAUACUGCCGUGCUUGAGGACUGGAGAGGAGACUGGAAUUUACGGUGUAGCGGUGAAAUGCGUAGAUAUCGUAAGGAAGACCAGUGGCGAAGGCGGGUCUCUGGACAGUUCCUGACGCUGAGGCACGAAGGCCAGGGGAGCAAACGGG
rnacentral:rRNA from 1 species